rnacentral:tRNA from 1 species
CGGGGUGUAGCGCAGAGGGCAGCGCGCCGCGUUUGGGACGCGGAGGUCGACGGUUCAAGUCCGUCCACCCCGA